rnacentral:lncRNA from 1 species
GAUGGUUUGUCCUUCUCCUCCACUUAGGAACUCUUCUAUCUUCUGUAGCAUGUCCUUAUUGCCCAUACCCAACCCCUCCACACAAACCACCACACAAGCCAAAGCCUCCGGCUGUAAAACCACCUUAUACACCAAAGCCUCCUGCUGUGAAACCACCACACAAGCCAAAGCCUCCGGCUGUAAAACCACCAUAUACACCAAAGCCUCCUGCUGUGAAACCACCACAUAAACCAAAACCUCCCAUUGUAAAACCUCCAAUAAUAGUGCAUCCUCCAUAUAUCCCAAAACCUCCCUUUGUGCACCCACCUUUCAGACCAAAGCCACCAAUUAUCAUACCACCACACCCUCCCAUUGUUAAACCACCACCCUUCAUUCCUAAGCCACCAGUUGUGCUGCCACCUUAUGUACCAAAGCCACCUAUUGUUAAACCACCGCCCUAUGUGCCAAAGCCACCUGUGGUGUUGCCACCUUAUAUACCAAAGCCACCUAUUGUUAAACCACCACCCUAUGUGCCCAAGCCGCCUAUUGUUAAACCACCACCUUACGUGCCAAAGCCACCUGUGGUGUUGCCACCCUAUGUGCCAAAGCCACCUAUUGUUGAACCACCACCCUAUGUGCCAAAGCCACCCGUCAUUUCCCCACCAUUUGUGCCAAAGCCACCUGUGGUGUCGCCACCUUAUGUACCAAAGCCGCCAGUUGUUGUAACUCCACCACCAUAUGUGCCAAAGCCACCUGUGGUUUCACCACCAUUUGUGCCAAAGCCACCUGUGGUGUCGCCACCAUAUGUACCAAAGCCACCUGUUGUUGUUACUCCACCACCAUAUGUGCCAAAGCCACCACCAACUCCCCAACCAACCCCUUGCCCACCACCCCCACCGACUCCCGUGCCAUGUCCACCGCCACCAAAGAAACCGGAGAUUUGCCCAAUUGAUACCCUCAAACUAGGUGCUUGUGUGGACUUGUU